UACGUAGGUGGCAAGCGUUGUCCGGAAUCAUUGGGCGUAAAGAGCGUGUAGGCGGCCCGAUCAGUCCGCUGUAAAAGUCCAGGGCUCAACCCUGGAAGGCCGGUGGAUACUGUCGGGCUAGAGUCCGGAAGAGGCGAGUGGAAUUCCUGGUGUAGCGGUGAAAUGCGCAGAUAUCAGGAGGAACACCAAUGGCGAAGGCAGCUCGCUGGGACGGUACUGACGCUGAGACGCGAAAGCGUGGGGAGCAAACAGG
rnacentral:rRNA from 1 species